rnacentral:rRNA from 1 species
ACGUAGGGAGCGAGCGUUGUCCGGAAUUACUGGGCGUAAAGGGUGCGUAGGCGGCGCUGUAAGUCAGAUGUGAAAUCCCCGGGCUUAACCCGGGUUCUGCAUUUGAUACUGCAGUGCUUGAGUGCAGGAGAGGAAAGCGGAAUUCCUAGUGUAGCGGUGAAAUGCGUAGAUAUUAGGAAGAACACCAGUGGCGAAGGCGGCUUUCUGGACUGUUACUGACGCUGAGGCACGAAAGCGUGGGGAGCAAACAG